CAUAGGUUAAUGAGGCGAACCGGGGGAACUGAAACAUCUAAGUACCCCGAGGAAAAGAAAUCAACCGAGAUUCCCCCAGUAGCGGCGAGCGAACGGGGAGCAGCCCAGAGCCUGAAUCAGUGUGUGUGUUAGUGGAAGCGUCUGGAAAGGCGCGCGAUACAGGGUGACAGCCCCGUACACAAAAAUGCACAUAUUGUGAGCUCGAUGAGUAGGGCGGGACACGUGGUAUCCUGUCUGAAUAUGGGGGGACCAUCCUCCAAGGCUAAAUACUCCUGACUGACCGAUAGUGAACCAGUACCGUGAGGGAAAGGCGAAAAGAACCCCGGCGAGGGGAGUGAAAAAGAACCUGAAACCGUGUACGUACAAGCAGUGGGAGCACGCUUAGGCGUGUGACUGCGUACCUUUUGUAUAAUGGGUCAGCGACUUAUAUUCUGUAGCAAGGUUAACCGAAUAGGGGAGCCGAAGGGAAACCGAGUCUUAACUGGGCGUUAAGUUGCAGGGUAUAGACCCGAAACCCGGUGAUCUAGCCAUGGGCAGGUUGAAGGUUGGGUAACACUAACUGGAGGACCGAACCGACUAAUGUUGAAAAAUUAGCGGAUGACUUGUGGCUGGGGGUGAAAGGCCAAUCAAACCGGGAGAUAGCUGGUUCUCCCCGAAAGCUAUUUAGGUAGCGCCUCGUGAAUUCAUCUCCGGGGGUAGAGCACUGUUUCGGCAAGGGGGUCAUCCCGACUUACCAACCCGAUGCAAACUGCGAAUACCGGAGAAUGUUAUCACGGGAGACACACGGCGGGUGCUAACGUCCGUCGUGAAGAGGGAAACAACCCAGACCGCCAGCUAAGGUCCCAAAGUCAUGGUUAAGUGGGAAACGAUGUGGGAAGGCCCAGACAGCCAGGAUGUUGGCUUAGAAGCAGCCAUCAUUUAAAGAAAGCGUAAUAGCUCACUGGUCGAGUCGGCCUGCGCGGAAGAUGUAACGGGGCUAAACCAUGCACCGAAGCUGCGGCAGCGACGCUUAUGCGUUGUUGGGUAGGGGAGCGUUCUGUAAGCCUGUGAAGGUGUGCUGUGAGGCAUGCUGGAGGUAUCAGAAGUGCGAAUGCUGACAUAAGUAACGAUAAAGCGGGUGAAAAGCCCGCUCGCCGGAAGACCAAGGGUUCCUGUCCAACGUUAAUCGGGGCAGGGUGAGUCGACCCCUAAGGCGAGGCCGAAAGGCGUAGUCGAUGGGAAACAGGUUAAUAUUCCUGUACUUGGUGUUACUGCGAAGGGGGGACGGAGAAGGCUAUGUUGGCCGGGCGACGGUUGUCCCGGUUUAAGCGUGUAGGCUGGUUUUCCAGGCAAAUCCGGAAAAUCAAGGCUGAGGCGUGAUGACGAGGCACUACGGUGCUGAAGCAACAAAUGCCCUGCUUCCAGGAAAAGCCUCUAAGCAUCAGGUAACAUCAAAUCGUACCCCAAACCGACACAGGUGGUCAGGUAGAGAAUACCAAGGCGCUUGAGAGAACUCGGGUGAAGGAACUAGGCAAAAUGGUGCCGUAACUUCGGGAGAAGGCACGCUGAUAUGUAGGUGAAGUCCCUUGCGGAUGGAGCUGAAAUCAGUCGAAGAUACCAGCUGGCUGCAACUGUUUAUUAAAAACACAGCACUGUGCAAACACGAAAGUGGACGUAUACGGUGUGACGCCUGCCCGGUGCCGGAAGGUUAAUUGAUGGGGUCAGCGCAAGCGAAGCUCUUGAUCGAAGCCCCGGUAAACGGCGGCCGUAACUAUAACGGUCCUAAGGUAGCGAAAUUCCUUGUCGGGUAAGUUCCGACCUGCACGAAUGGCGUAAUGAUGGCCAGGCUGUCUCCACCCGAGACUCAGUGAAAUUGAACUCGCUGUGAAGAUGCAGUGUACCCGCGGCAAGACGGAAAGACCCCGUGAACCUUUACUAUAGCUUGACACUGAACAUUGAGCCUUGAUGUGUAGGAUAGGUGGGAGGCUUUGAAGUGUGGACGCCAGUCUGCAUGGAGCCGACCUUGAAAUACCACCCUUUAAUGUUUGAUGUUCUAACGUUGACCCCUAAUCGGGGUUGCGGACAGUGUCUGGUGGGUAGUUUGACUGGGGCGGUCUCCUCCUAAAGAGUAACGGAGGAGCACGAAGGUUGGCUAAUCCUGGUCGGACAUCAGGAGGUUAGUGCAAUGGCAUAAGCCAGCUUGACUGCGAGCGUGACGGCGCGAGCAGGUGCGAAAGCAGGUCAUAGUGAUCCGGUGGUUCUGAAUGGAAGGGCCAUCGCUCAACGGAUAAAAGGUACUCCGGGGAUAACAGGCUGAUACCGCCCAAGAGUUCAUAUCGACGGCGGUGUUUGGCACCUCGAUGUCGGCUCAUCACAUCCUGGGGCUGAAGUAGGUCCCAAGGGUAUGGCUGUUCGCCAUUUAAAGUGGUACGCGAGCUGGGUUUAGAACGUCGUGAGACAGUUCGGUCCCUAUCUGCCGUGGGCGCUGGAGAACUGAGGGGGGCUGCUCCUAGUACGAGAGGACCGGAGUGGACGCAUCACUGGUGUUCGGGUUGUCAUGCCAAUGGCACUGCCCGGUAGCUAAAUGCGGAAGAGAUAAGUGCUGAAAGCAUCUAAGCACGAAACUUGCCCCGAGAUGAGUUCUCCCUGACCCUUUAAGGGUCCUGAAGGAACGUUGAAGACGACGACGUUGAUAGGCCGGGUGUGUAAGCGCAGCGAUGCGUUGAGCUAACCGGUACUAAUGAACCGUGAGGCUUAACCUUACAAC
rnacentral:rRNA from 1 species